AUUUAAAAAUCCCCUUCCUGUUUGCUCAGCCAGUCGCAGCAGCUGGAAGCUGACGGUGAGGAGGAAGCUGAGGAUCGUGCUCGUGGGACCUUGACUACUGCAGCUGUAUCACCGCCCUCACGUAGGUUGCAGAACCUGAGACGCAAUCCUAGGAAAUCAAAAGAGGAAUUGAUCAAGUCUGUUCGGAGCCACUACAACAGGGAAAGUAGGAAGACAGAGGAAUGGAGAAGCAGUGUACAGGAGUGGAGAAAGACUGUACAUGAAUGGAGGCAAACAGAAAGCAGGAGAAAGGAAUUGUGUAGGCAAACAGAAAGCAGGAGAAAGGAAUUGUCUGCCAAAAAAACAACAAAGCAGAUGAUAAGCCUCCUGUCUCGCCAAACUGAGUCUUUCGAGUCUCUUGUAGCCAUGCAGACAAAUAUGUACCGUGCUAACCCACAGCCCUCCCAAAGCCCUCUUCCUUGUCACCCUGUAUAUUCACAAAACAACUUUCUCCAGCAGCCAGUUCCUUAUUAUCCCCAGCUGCCCCCAACACCUAUAAGAUCACCUACUAGCCCUGAUAACUAUAAUUCUUACCCUGUUCACUCCACCCCCAUCAUUCUGCAGCAUAGUAAUGCUGAAGUGCAACAGACAGUGAAUAUUGAUCAAAAUAGGACAUAGUAAAACCUGUAAAUGUACUGUCAACCACCCCUACCCCCUUGCAUGUUUUGUACUGUAUGUUGAAUAAAGUUUUUUUUUUCUA